CUUGGCAGCACCAAAUAAUUCUACUCUUAUUUUCUAAAGGGACCCAGGGAAAACUACCUUAUUAAAAAAAAAGAAGAAGAAGAAGAAGAAGAAGAAGAAGAAAGAAAGAAAAAGGAAUAUAUGUACCAUAUAUUUAGAUUUGAGAUGGUUUUUAAAAAGCUAGUCAUUAAACAUUUUGUAAAAAAAAUUGGGUAAACUGAAAUCAGCAGGUAGGAGAAGUUCUGUCUGUAGUAGAGAUAUUGAGACCAGUUUGAGAUAAAACUAGGUUCUUUGUUUCUACUUGCAGGUGGGGUUUGUAUAAGCUGCAGGCCUCUACAACUGAUAAAGGGCCUUUUAGUGCUACUAGCAGCCAAUCAUGGCAGGGGAUGUCUACUGGUGUCAGCUCUGAGGGUUACAGCUGGCAAAGCUGGAUUCUUCUUCACUACUAUUGAGUGGCAUGUUGCAGCUCUCAAUGGCAGGAUAUGCCUACUAGUGUCACAGCAGACACCAGCAGCUCACUGUCAAUUUCUUUUUGCUGGGUUCUUGUCUUGCAAAUAAAAGACUAAAUUUAUGGUCAAUGGAAGGCAAGAGUGAAAAGAAGUAGGAUUUAUUCAAGUAGAAAGAACAGAGAGACAGAACUCUCAUAGGGUAAAAGGGGACCUGAUAGCAGGUUGCCACUUGAGUGUACUAGUGUAGGGGUUUAUGUAGCUCUUGGGUCAAUGCAAUUGGUUCAAGUUUAUGAUAAUCAGGUUUUGGAAAAGUACCAGUGGUAUUGGUCCAAAUUUAUGCUAAUUAGGUCUUGGAAAGUACUCUUGCUACUGGUUAACAAUUGAGCUGAACUUUCCUCCAUUCAGACCUGCCCCCAUUUCUGUUUUGCAGCUCAUACCCCCAGGCUGGGAUGUGCGGGGAGAGGUAGAGGGGUUUGGCACCCUGGCUCACCACUCCUCAGGCCCAUGCCAGCAUGGCAGGCUCUGCAUACAUGACCCAUGUUCACUGCCUGUGUUCCAGCAUGCCCUGAAUAAGGGCUUGGCUUCAGUAUUACAGAGUGAGCUUUAACUUGGGUUUAUGAACAUGUUAACAAAUGGAAAAUGGCCUGUACCCUGAGGUUGAGACUUUGGAAACUAUGUUCUGAGGUAGAUAAAACAUGAUGUAACAUUUGCAUAGCUCUGCCAUGUAAGGGCACUUGUGGUAUGACAUGACAUCAGGAAACACAGGCUAGUUUAAGACAAGCUCUCUUCCCUCAAGGAACUCACAGUGUAAUGCCAGACAAGGGCAAGGCUGUAGGAGAGCUUAUGACAAAAGACAGCCUGUACCUCAUGUCAGGGGAGAGGGCAGAAAAUUAAUAAUUUUUUGACUUCCAGGUGAUUCUUAAGUCUUCUCUGAAUUAAAAGGAGAGAUCUCUAAAAUGUAUUUAUAAUUUUAAGAAAAACAUUAAAUAGAGCUAAAUUAAUUUUCAGUCUAAUUUGCUUGGAAUUUUCUUGUUUUAUUAAUGUGAACUCAUCCUACAAAACAUUUAGAAGCAAAAUGAUAAAUUCAAAUAUAAAAGAAGAUACUAAAGCUAUAGAAUAGAGUAAAAAAAUAAAUAAAUAGAAAAUCGAGCAUGUAGAGGUUUUUUCCUUGUCUAUUUUGUGCCAUGUAGCAAAUAGUGUAACAUAAUGAGACUUUGGGCAGCUCUCCCUCUUGCAGACUCUUACUGGCUCAUAAAAAAAGGGAGUUGGUCCCAGUGAACAGAUGUCACAGGAAAGUAUAUACCUGAUUUGAGCACAACUCAGACUUGGCCCUGGCUAAAUAGUACAGAGAGAGCGCUUGGGCAUAAAUUCUUGACUUUGGUCACUCCAGAUAGCAGGAGCUAAACUUAAACCAAUUAAGAGCUAAAAUAACUCCCUAAUAACUUGGGAUAGGCUUUAUUUUGCAAAUGAGUCAGGCCAACAGGGUAAAACCUGAGCAAAUGGAACUAGAAAGGACAGCUUCUGCCUCCUGAAGGAAAUACAGAAGUUUGAAGGCUAGAAAAGGCAAACUCAAUAUUAGAAUUGGAAGGUACCCAAACUUUUUCGGGAAUAUAAUUAACAGUAAGACCAAGAGAUGAUCACUCCCCAAUUUCUUUGAAAUUUCUAACUUCAGUCAUUUAACAAUUUUAUUAAAAAAUCUUCUGCCUGCAUUACUAUUUGCCAGGAAAGAUUACAAAUGGGCUUAACAGUUUUGAGUAUGAGCUUUUAUGUAUAGCUUUAUAGAUUGAUUCUAUAUAUAUGUAUGCCAGUUCUAAUCCAGUAAGUCACAUUUUAUUUAACUUAAAUCAUUCUGUAGAGUGAAAUUUGAUAAGGCACAUAAGAAUUUCAACCUCUAUUAAACUAAAAUCCUAGUAAUGUCUGGUCAUUGUAAAAAUUGCCUUCUGAAGAAUAUUCAUCUGAACUGGACAUGGUGGUUGGUGCAUGCCUAUAGUCUCAGCUACUUUGAGAGACUGAGACGGGAGGAUUGCUUGAGUCCAUGAGUUCAAGACCAACUUUGACAACACAGUGAGAAUCCAUCAAAAAAUAUUUAUUUACUUAUUAAAGUGAUAUUUACUUAUUUAUUUUAAUUUUUAAUUUUUUAUUGUGGGUUGUUCAAAACAUUACAAAUUUCUUGACAUAUCAUAUUCCACACUUUGAUUCAAGUGGGUUAUGAACUCCCACCUUCACCCCAUACACAGAUUGCAG
rnacentral:lncRNA from 1 species